UACGUAGGGGGCAAGCGUUGUCCGGAAUCAUUGGGCGUAAAGCGCGUGUAGGCGGUUCGGUAAGUCUGCUGUGAAAGUCCAGGGCUCAACCCUGGGAUGCCGGUGGAUACUGUCGGACUGGAGUACGGAAGAGGCGAGUGGAAUUCCCGGUGUAGCGGUGAAAUGCGCAGAUAUCGGGAGGAACACCAAUUGCGAAGGCAGCUCGCUGGGACGUUACUGACGCUGAGACGCGAAAGCGUGGGGAGCAAACAGG
rnacentral:rRNA from 1 species